rnacentral:rRNA from 1 species
UGCCUACGGGACGCAGCAGUGGGGAAUAUUGCACAAUGGGGGAAACCCUGAUGCAGCAACGCCGCGUGAGUGAAGAAGGUUUUCGGAUUGUAAAGCUCUGUUAGCAGGGAAGAGGAAGGACGGUACCUGACUAAGAAGCCCCGGCUAACUACGUGCCAGCAGCCGCGGUAAUACGUAGGGGGCAAGCGUUAUCCGGAUUUACUGGGUGUAAAGGGAGCGUAGACGGAAUUGCAAGUCUGAUGUGAAAAUCCGGGGCCCAACCCCGGAACUGCAUUGGAAACUGUAUUUCUAGAGUGUCGGAGAGG